UACGGAGGGGGCUAGCGUUGUUCGGAAUUACUGGGCGUAAAGCGCACGUAGGCGGCUUUGCAAGUCAGAGGUGAAAGCCCGGGGCUCAACCCCGGAAUUGCCUUUGAGACUGCAUCGCUAGAAUUGUGGAGAGGUAAGUGGAAUUCCGAGUGUAGAGGUGAAAUUCGUAGAUAUUCGGAAGAACACCAGUGGCGAAGGCGGCCUUCUGGACCAAUACUGACGCUCAUGCACGAAAGCGUGGGGAGCAAACAGG
rnacentral:rRNA from 1 species